ACUGAUUGCAACAUGUUCAAGUAGGAAGCAAAAGGGGGUUGGACGCAUGUUCAUUCAGAUUACUGGUAAAGUGAACAGUGCAGACUGACUGUAGGCUAUUUCGCGCCCAAGAAACUGCUUCCUACCAGGUAAACCUCUAGACAGGCCUGACAGUGGAGAUGUCUAAAGCGCCAGAUGGCCCCGCAAGGACCCGCUCCAGAUCAAAGUCCAGGUCCAGGUCUUGCACGCGGUCUCGUUCCAGAAGCCGCUCCCGCUCCAGAUCCAGGAAGCACCGCUACAGUUCUAGGUCACGUUCCCGCUCCAGAUCUCACUCUCCGUCCCACGGCAGGAACUAUCCCACCAGAGACUACCAGAACAACCGGGGUUACCAGAGGGGCUACAACCGUGGCUUCCGCAGACCCUUUUACUUCCGCGGUAGAACCCGGGGCUUCUACCCUCGCCAGGGUUACCAGAGAGGAGGUAACAGCUACGGCUACAGAGCCAACAACUGGCAGGGGGGGGGCUACCGGGACGGGCCGCCCCAUGACCAGGACCACCACGGUCCUCACAGCCCCAGGAGAGGGAGAUCUCGGUCCCGCACGCCCAGGAAACGCUCCGGCAGCCGCAGCCACUCCCGGUCUCGAUACUCCGACCGUUCGUCCUCCAGGGGUUCCCGACGGUCCCGGCGGCACCACAGCUCCUCUUCCCGCUCCUCUUCCCCGCGGAAUCGCCGCAGCAGCCCCGGCUCAGGGAAGCCUGGCUCUAAAGAUGUAAAGGACAAGACUACACCAGUAGAGGUCAAGGAGGAGAGGGGAGGGGCUGGGGAGCAGGUAGGAGGACCUGGGGGAGAAGGCAGCAGUCAUGAUAAGGCCUCUGCUGGGAAAUGGCAGGGUCUGAGUGACUAUAACAACAGCCCCAAAUGCAGCAGUCCGGCUGUUGGUGCCAAACAGGGGAAGUCGGACCCCAAAGGGUCAUUGUGGAGAACCAUGGGCAGCACUGGCAGUGUUCCCUCUACCAAGAGCCCACCAGGCUCCACCAAGGCCGGGCCGACUGCCUCCACCAGUGGGUUUGGUUUCUUUGGCAAGGAGGAUCCCACCAGAGCAGACGAUAAGACUGCUAUUUCCUCUGCUUUCAAAAAGUUCUUGGCAGAAAACAAGAAUAAAAAGCAGCAGCAGCAGGCGGCGGCAGAGUGGGAGAAUGGCCAGGACGGAGACAGCAGAGAGAAAGGGAACAGCAAGAUUGGAGGAGGCCUUUUCAACAUAACAGCAGCCUCCUUCAGCUCCAAGGCCGAUAAGUCUCUGCCAUUCCUGGAAAGAGCCGAAGAGGCCUUCCUCAAGUCUCAGGCUGCUGAAAGAGAGGAGGAGGAGGUGGUCAAGCCCAAAGGAGCCACCCUGACAACACGGGAUGUGUUUGGGAAGUGGGAAGACGAGCCCCAUUACUACCCCCCGGGGAAGGACGAGGAGAGACGGAGAGACACGGCCGAAGACGUGGAUGAAGACCUGGAGCACAUGGAAGAGGAGCUUUACCGCAGCCGCAAGCAGGCCUCCAAGAAAGAAGAGAAGUCCAAGAGGAAGGAGAAGAAGAAGGAGAAGAGCAACAGGAGGAGUCCAUCUCCCGUCAGCGCAGCAGUGCCCCCUAGGGGUUCAGGCAGCGGGGAGAAGGACAGGCCCCUAGCCCUGUUCCCCAUCAAUAGGUUGGAGUCACACCUACCCAGGUCCUCUGGGAAGAGGGAGGGCUUGGAGCACAGUAUCAACACAUUUGAUGAAAUGCCCAGCGCCUCUGGAAGUCUGACUAAGGAGCGUGGUUUGUCCAGGGAUCUGGUGCAUCCCAGUAAGAAAGAUCCCGGACAGUUCCGCUCCAUUUUCCAACACAUACAGGCUGCUCAACUCCAACGCAGCCCCUCCGAGCUGUUUGCGCAGCAUAUUGUCACCAUUGUGCACUACAUCAAAGCACAACAUUUCCACUCUUCAGGCAUGACUUUAAGUGAGCGAUUUGCCAUGUACCAAAGAAAAGCAGCUGAGAUGGAAUUGAUUAAACAAAGGAAGAGUCCAGAAAUCCACAGGAGAAUCGAUGUCUCCCCCAGUGCUUUUACCAGACACUCUCACCUGCUUGAGGAGCUGGAGGACUGCAGCUACAAGGAUCGGGGUAGAACAGCGAAAACUGACCCAAUGGACCUGCGUCUGGAUAUAGAGCGCCGUAAAAGGUUUUCUGGGAAGGAGCAACGGGACGGGGGCAAGGGAUCCCAGGGACCCAGCCAAGAGAGGUCCUCAGAGAAAUCUUCCAAACGCCACAAGAAAUCAAAAAAAAACAAGAAGAAUCGUAAUCGCUCUCCAUCCUCCUCCUCCUCUUCCUCCUCCUCUCCCUCUCCCUUCAGAGAAGGGUUCCGAGGUAAAGACCACAUGAUGGGGGAGGAAAUGGAGCAUAUGGACCAGGGCUACAGUAAGCCUCGCUUCGGGUCCCGUGACUAUGAGGGCCCCAUGGAUAGGUGUCCCCCCCGAGACUAUGAGGGCCCCAUGGAUAGGGGGCCCCCCCGCGACUAUGAGGGCCCCAUGGAUAGGGGCCGAGGACGUGGUGGAGGAUUUCCAACUGAGAGCCCCUAGUGUUCUCUCUCUUUCCCUCCCUCUCUCCCCCUCCCGCUUUCUCUCCCCUACUCUUUCUCCCUCUUUCUUUCCCCUACUCUUUCUCCCUCUUUCUUUCCCCCCUAUAGCUGUCUUUUUCUCUCUCCCACAGCAAAACUGACCCAAGAUCGGUGUCUGGGGCUGUAGAGUGAAGUUGCCCAUAGUCUGACCAAGUUUGUUCUGGUGGUUUCAGCUUCCCAGAGUAAGAGGAGGAGGAAGGGGCUGGAAUAGAGGCAAUUACCAAGGUAACACAAGCAGCAAUGGCAACCCCCCUCCUAAUAUGAACGCCGCCCCCCCAGAGCGUCCCCCAGAUGAGGACUGGGACCCAGAGUACACCCCCAAGAGCAGGAAAUACUACUUUCAUGAUGACCGUGAGGAUGAGAAGACAUGGCUGGAGAGCUGUGGCCGAGGGGUCUUUCCCCACAGCAGGGGUCGCUUCAUCUACCGCAAGGGGGGCAGAAGCCCCAACAAGUGGACUCAUGACAUGUUCCAGACUGGCGAGGAAGGGGGCGGGAACAAGGAGGAGGAGCACCACAAAGAGAUGGACCAGAAAGACAACCAGGCUGCCGUAGACCCCUCAGCUUCCUCCAAACUGUAGUAGAGGACUAGGCCCUGUUACUUCUCUUGCUCCUCCUCCUCCAUCCUCUUGCUCCUCCUCCAUCUUCUUGCUCCUCCUCCAUCCUCUUGCUCCUCCUCACCCAUCUUCUACCACCAGAGCUUUCUGUCCAUUUGUGAGAGGUCAUCUGAUCCUCUGAGAUCAUCUCUGUGUAGGCUAUAGGAGCCUGCACACAGUCACAUCAGAACAUACAUGAUACACUGGUCUUUGUAUUGUUGAGACAGUGCCACUUUCAGUAAGUUGUGAAAGAGAUGUUGAAUUGAACUUGAGUUAAGAGCAAUACUUUUUUAUUUUAUUUUAAUUACCAGUAAUUUGUCUUUGUUUGUUUAUCUGUCUGUAUUUGCUUAUUUGUUUUGCGAACAGCUGACUGGUUUUCAGUUGUUUUCUGGGUCUGCAAUGGUGAUGGUAUUGCAGCUACAUUGAUUUAAAACUUCAAGGACAAAUUAUUUUCCCUCUUAAGACAUUGAAAUUACAUGCAUUUGUGCCUUAAGGUUUAUAUUCAUACAUGGUGAUUAUAUGUGCAUUGCUCUAAUUUUGUGCAAAUGUUCUGCUGUACUAGCUAACGCAAGCCUUUAGCUAAACAGGUGUUUUGGGCAAUGAUACGUUUCUGAGGGUAUUUGCAUAACCAUUUGGACUCAGCUUCCCCACCCCAUUGGACCAACCUACUGUGGGUACUGAACCUCCCCACCCCAUUGGACCAACCUACUGUGUGUACUGAGAACUCCCCAUUAGAGUUUCUCACAUUGUCCCAUUUGAGAAUUCUUCAUCAUAUCCUAAGCAUUUUCAUUACCGCCAAUACUUCUGCUCUCCUACUUUUUGGGGGGUUGAGGUUUUGUAUGUGGUGCCUCCCUCCUGUUGAUACUGGAUGUUUUUCUGUUUUUAAAGCAAGGAUUUUCACUGUGUAAAAUGAAAGGACCGUGACAAAAAAAUAGUUUGUUUCAGAGUAAAUUAAAAAGUAAGUAAAAAAAAAAAAGUCUAUUGUUAUUGAGGCCUUUAACUUGGGAGAGAAGUGUUUAAAUAGGAUACUGUAUGUUUUAAUAACAUGUUUGAAAAUGGAUCAGUUUAUGGGCUUGUUGGAGUCCUUCAGUAAUGUUCUUUAUCAAAAGGUAAACUUGGACUGUUUGAGGUUUAUGGCAUAAGAAGUAGAGAACAUUUCCCUGUAUGUGGCAAGUACUGUCAAAGUAUAAUUGUUGGUGGCGUUUAAACAGGUGAGUAGGGUUUAGUGAGGUACUGGGCUGCUUUGUUUGGCCUAUCCAGACUGUCCUGUACUGUAGGACUGUGAUUUAAAUGUUUUUUUUUUUAUGCUACAUUUGAAACUGACGCUAACAUUUCUGUUACUUCAGAGCUUUGAACUAUUCUUAAAUGUUCAAUAAAUAUGUUCGCUUGAA